UACGUAGGGGGCUAGCGUUGUCCGGAAUCAUUGGGCGUAAAGCGCGUGUAGGCGGCCCGGUAAGUCCGCUGUGAAAGUCGGGGGCUCAACCCUCGAAUGCCGGUGGAUACUGUCGGGCUAGAGUACGGAAGAGGCGAGUGGAAUUCCUGGUGUAGCGGUGAAAUGCGCAGAUAUCAGGAGGAACACCCAUUGCGAAGGCAGCUCGCUGGGACGUUUACUGACGCUGAGACGCGAAAGCGUGGGGAGCGAACAGG
rnacentral:rRNA from 1 species